rnacentral:rRNA from 1 species
GACGAACGCUGGCGGCGCGCCUAACACAUGCAAGUCGAACGAGAGAGGAAGAGCUUGCUUUUCCGAUCGAGUGGCGAACGGGGGAGUAACGCGUGAGGAACCUGCCUCAAAGAGGGGGACAACAGUUGGAAACGACUGCUAAUACCGCAUAAGUCCACGGCUCGGCAUCGAGCAGAGGGAAAAGGAGCAAUCCGCUUUGAGAUGGCCUCGCGUCCGAUUAGCUAGGUGGUGAGGUAACGGCCCACCAAGGCGACGAUCGGUAGCCGGACUGAGAGGUUGAACGGCCACAUUGGGACUGAGACACGGCCCAGACUCCUACGGGAGGCAGCAGUGGGGAAUAUUGCACAAUGGGGGAAACCCUGAUGCAGCGACGCCGCGUGGAGGAAGAAGGUCUUCGGAUUGUAAACUCCUGUUGUUGAGGAAGAUAAUGACGGUACUCAACAAGGAAGUGACGGCUAACUACGUGCCAGCAGCCGCCGUAA